GAUGAACGCUGGCGGCGUGCCUAACACAUGCAAGUCGAGCGAUCUCUUCGGAGAGAGCGGCGGACGGGUGAGUAACGCGUGGGUAACCUGCCCUGUACACACGGAUAACAUACCGAAAGGUAUGCUAAUACGGGAUAAUAUAUAAAAGUCGCAUGGCUUUUAUAUCAAAGCUUUUGCGGUACAGGAUGGACCCGCGUCUGAUUAGCUAGUUGGUAAGGUAACGGCUUACCAAGGCGACGAUCAGUAGCCGACCUGAGAGGGUGAUCGGCCACUCGGGAACUGAGACACGGUCCAGACUCCUACGGGAGGCAGCAGUGGGGAAUAUUGCACAAUGGGCGAAAGCCUGAUGCAGCAACGCCGCGUGAGCGAUGAAGGCCUUCGGGUCGUAAAGCUCUGUCCUCAAGGAAGAUAAUGACGGUACUUGAGGAGGAAGCCCCGGCUAACUACGUGCCAGCAGCCGCGGUAA
rnacentral:rRNA from 1 species